GCGACUUAUAUUCUGUAGCAAGGUUAACCGAAUAGGGGAGCCGGAGGGAAACCGAGUCUUAAUUGGGCGUUAAGUUGCAGGGUAUAGACCCGAAACCCGGUGAUCUAGCCAUGGGCAGGUUGAAGGUCAGUUUUUAACGCUAUUUUUCUAUUUUUUCGAUAUAUAUCAGACUUUAUAGCGACGUUAUCGCUAUAUAAAAUUCUAUACAUCGUUUUAUUGUUUUUUUUAUUGUGAGCAGCAGAGUGAG
rnacentral:rRNA from 1 species